CACCAGCCCCUCGAGUGGUGGGGACUAUUAUUUGGCCUAAAGCGUCCGUAGCUGGCUGUAUCAGUCUCCCGGUAAAUCCGGCGUCUUAAGCGUCGGUCCCCGGGUGAUACCGUACAGCUAGAGGGUGGGAUAGGUGAGCGGUAUUUCUGGGGUAGGGGYKAAAUCCUUUGAUCCCAGGAGGACCACCAGUGGCGAAGGCUGCUCACUAGAACACGCCYGACGGUCAGGGACGAAAGCUGGGGSAGCGAACCGGAUUAGAUACCCGGGUAGUCCCAGCUGUAAACGAUGCUAGCUAGGUGUUGGGUCGGCCACGMGCCGCCCCAGUGCCGCAGGGAAGCCGUUAAGCUWGCCGCCUGGGAAGUACGGCCGCAAGGCUGAAACUUAA
rnacentral:rRNA from 1 species